rnacentral:rRNA from 1 species
GUCCUAGCCGUAAACGAUGGGCACUAGGUGUGGGAGGUAUCGACCCCUUCCGUGCCGGAGCUAACGCAUUAAGUGCCCCGCCUGGGGAGUACGGCCGCAAGGUUGAAACUCAAAGGAAUUGACGGGGCCCGCACAAGCGGUGGAGCAUGUGGUUUAAUUCGACGCAACGCGAAGAACCUUACCAGGGCUUGACAUCCUCGGAACUAGUCUGAAAGGACUGGGUGCCCCGCAAGGGGAACCGAGAGACAGGUGGUGCAUGGCUGUCGU